GAAGGUGCAGCUCAGUGGUAGAGCGUGUGUCUGCACGCACGAGGUCCUGGGUUCAAUCCCCAGUCCCUCCA
rnacentral:tRNA from 1 species